rnacentral:rRNA from 1 species
UACGUAGGGGGCAAGCGUUGUCCGGAUUUAUUGGGCGUAAAGAGCGUGUAGGCGGCCAGGUAGGUCUGCUGUGAAAACUCGAGGCUCAACCUCGAGAUGUCGGCGGAAACCAUCUGGCUAGAGUCCGGAAGAGGAGAAUGGAAUUCCCGGUGUAGCGGUGAAAUGCGCAGAUAUCGGGAAGAACACCCGUGGCGAAGGCGGUUCUCUGGGACGGUACUGACGCUGAGGCGCGAAAGCCAGGGGAGCAAACGGG